rnacentral:lncRNA from 1 species
UGCUGGACCCGACCGCAAGUCUCUGUUUCUCUGGCAGUUUACGGAAAUUUCAAGGUGAGAACCAUAGUCAUGGCUUGGGAGUGGCUGCCCACUUGUGCCAGGGCCCCACCCAGAGGCUGGGACCUGACCUAAGACUGAUGUGUCUGCGACCUGAGGCGGCACAUCCUGGGAUCACAGGGCCAGCCCACUGGCGCUCAUUUGCUCAGAGGGUCUCAGCCCCCGGGGUCUGUCCUCCCCUGGCUCCUUCCACCUGGGUCCCAUGAGGGCUCCAGAGCCCAGGACCCAGCAUCCACAGGCCACGGGCCACUCGGGGAAGCAUGGCAGCUCCACUGACUCCAACACUCCUCAUGUGACACAAACGUGGCAGGAGAUGAGACACAUGGAGAAGUGGCUGAAGAUGCUGGGAGAGUGGCAGAAACCUAGGAAGAGCAAGAAGAAGUGCUGACUGUGGCAUGACUGCCAUUGGGGCGAGAGCCUUUCAUCUGUUCUGAGGCCGCUUCCUCUCCUGGCCUCACCCUACCAGCCGUGAAGGAAAAGGCUUUCUCGACCAUAUCCACCAGAUCGACGUGGAUGUGAGCCGGACGCUGAGGGGUCACACAAUGUUUAGGAAAUGAUAUGGCAUCAGGUAAGUCUGUGGGGGCCACGGGGUCCCAGCAGAGAUGUGGUAAACCAGAGGGAUGGGGACUUCCCCAGAAAAAAAGCCAG